rnacentral:miRNA from 1 species
GCUCCCCACCCCCUACCUCCACC